CUUUCGACUCUCUCUCUCUGUCUCUCGGAGAAGAAAGAGAUUCAUCAUCUUCUCUCACCAUUAAUCUUCCUUGCCAAAGAUUUUCGAGCCCAUUCAUAAGAUUCCGGUGAAUUUUCCGAGAAACGAUGUCAAUAUUGUGCAACAAUGGCCGCAAAAGAGAUAAGAGAAGAGGAAGAAGAAAAGAGAAAGAAACAACGAUAGAAGAGACUCAUCAAUGUUGUUGUUGUUGCGUGUGGCCUCCAUUUUCAAUGGUUAGAGGAAUAAAGAGAUGUUUCUUCCUCUCAUGUUAUCCAUUUAUUCGAUGUUUAGGAUUGGAAGAGAGAAGACAUCGUCAUCAUCUUCAUCACCACAACCACUUUUUAUGAUUCCUUUUGUGUAUAAAGAUUACUAUAGGGCAUGUGAAAACAUUUCUUGAUUUCAAGAAAAACAUGUAAAAUAAUCAAAUAAGGAAUCAAGACACAAUGAAAACGUUUCAUGGUUAGGGCU
rnacentral:lncRNA from 1 species